rnacentral:tRNA from 1 species
GCCGAAUUAGCUCAGCUGGCCAGAGCACGUGAUUUGUAAUCUCGGGGUCGUGGGUUCGAAUCCCUCAUUCGGCU